CCCCUUGACAUGCCUGGAACCCUGCAGAGAUGUGGGGGUGCUCGAAAGAGAACCAGGACACAGGUGCUGCAUGGCCGUCGUCAGCUCGUGUCGUGAGAUGUUGGGUUAAGUCCGCAACGAGCGCAACCCUUAUCAUUAGUUGCUACGCAAGGGCACUCUAAUGAGACUGCCGGUGACAAACCGGAGGAAGGUGGGGAUGACGUCAGGUCAUCAUGGCCCUUAUGGGUAGGGCUACACACGUCAUACAAUGGCCGGUACAGAGGGCUGCCAACCCGCGAGGGGGAGCUAAUCUCAGAAAACCGGUCGUAGUCCGGAUCGCAGUCUGCAACUCGACUGCGUGAAGUCGGAAUCGCUAGUAAUCGCGGAUCAGCUUGCCGCGGUGAAUACGUUCCCGGGUCUUGUACACACCGCCCGUCACACCAUGGGAGCGGGUUCUGCCAGAAGUGGGUAGCCUAACCGCAAGGAGGGCGCUCACCACGGCAGGGUUCGUGACUGGGGUGAAGUCGUAACAAGGUAGGCGUAGUGCU
rnacentral:rRNA from 1 species